GCUAUUUUGGUUGAAUCCAUAAAAACUUCUUCCGAUAAGAUAAGAUAAAUUAUUAAAGUUCUGUUCUAAUAUGUGUAUGUUAUUAUUUAGCUGAGAAUAGCGAUCCUAAAUUUUUUGCAAGGAAGGCAUGCUAUGACAAGAAUGAAAAAAAUGACGAAAAUAGGCAUAAAACGGGACUGGCGGGACCUUGCUCAGCACAGGGAGGAUUGGAAAGCUAGAGGGGAGGCCUUUGCCCAGCAGUGGGACACACAAAUAGGCUAAUAAAAAAAAAUAAAAAAACGAUUAGUGAUUAUAAGAGGCUUUUAUUAUCGUUAAACAGAAGUGAUCUCAAUUUUGUUAAUACUCAAUACUUUGAUAAGCUAUUACAUUGUUUUUUUAAUAAAGUUUUUUAUCUUUUCUUGGUGA